rnacentral:rRNA from 1 species
AUAUCAAUAAGCGGAGGAAAAGAAACCAACAGGGAUUACCUCAGUAACGGCGAGUGAAGCGGUAACAGCUCAAAUUUGAAAUCUGGCCGCAAGGUCCGAGUUGUAAUUUGUAGAGGAAACUUCGGGCGCGGUCCGGUCUAAGUUCAUUGGAACAUGACGUCAUAGAGGGUGAGAAUCCCGUAUGUGACUGGGUGCCGCUGUCCAUGUGAAGCUCCUUCGACGAGUCGAGUUGUUUGGGAAUGCAGCUCUAAAUGGGUGGUAUAUUUCAUCUAAAGCUAAAUAUUGGCCAGAGACCGAUAGCGCACAAGUAGAGUGAUCGAAAGAUGAAAAGCACUUUGGAAAGAGAGUUAAACAGUAC